rnacentral:rRNA from 1 species
GGUUAAGCGACUAAGCGUACACGGUGGAUGCCCUGGCAGUCAGAGGCGAUGAAGGACGUGCUAAUCUGCGAUAAGCGUCGGUAAGGUGAUAUGAACCGUUAUAACCGGCGAUUUCCGAAUGGGGAAACCCAGUGUGUUUCGACACACUAUCAUUAACUGAAUCCAUAGGUUAAUGAGGCGAACCGGGGGAACUGAAACAUCUAAGUACCCCGAGGAAAAGAAAUCAACCGAGAUUCCCCCAGUAGCGGCGAGCGAACGGGGAGGAGCCCAGAGCCUGAAUCAGUGUGUGUGUUAGUGGAAGCGUCUGGAAAGGCGCGCGAUACAGGGUGACAGCCCCGU